GAUGAACGCUGGCGGCGUGCCUAAUACAUGCAAGUCGAGCGAACGGACGAGAAGCUUGCUUCUCUGAUGUUAGCGGCGGACGGGUGAGUAACACGUGGAUAACCUACCUAUAAGACUGGGAUAAUUUCGGGAAACCGGAGCUAAUACCGGAUAAUAUUUUGAACCGCAUGGUUCAAAAGUGAAAGACGGUCUUGCUGGCACUUAUAGAUGGAUCCGCGCUGCAUUAGCUAGUUGGUAAGGUAACGGCUUACCAAGGCAACGAUGCAUAGCCGACCUGAGAGGGUGAUCGGCCACACUGGAACUGAGACGCGGUCCAGACUCCUACGGGAGGCAGCAGUAGGGAAUCUUCCGCAAUGGGCGAAAGCCUGACGGAGCAACGCCGCGUGAGUGAUGAAGGUCUUCGGAUCGUAAAACUCUGUUAUUAGGGAAGAACAUAUGUGUAAGUAACUGUGCACAUCUUGACGGUACCUAAUCAGAAAGCCACGGCUAACUACGUG
rnacentral:rRNA from 1 species